UGGGGAAUAUUGGACAAUGGGCGAAAGCCUGAUCCAGCCAUGCCGCGUGUGUGAAGAAGGUCUUAUGGUUGUAAAGCACUUUAAGCGAGGAGGAGGGUACUGGUAUUAAUACUACCAGCUACUGGACGUUACUCGCAGAAUAAGCACCGGCUAACUCUGUGCCAGCAGCCGCGGUAAUACAGAGGGUGCGAGCGUUAAUCGGAUUUACUGGGCGUAAAGCGUGCGUAGGCGGCUAAUUGAGUCGGAUGUGAAAUCCCCGAGCUUAACUUGGGAAUUGCAUUCGAUACUGGUUAGCUAGAGUGUGGGAGAGGAUGGUAGAAUUCCAGGUGUAGCGGUGAAAUGCGUAGAUAUAGGAAGGAACACCAGUGGCGAAGGCGACCACCUGGGCUCAUACUGACACUGAGGUGCGAAAGCGUGGGGAGCAAACAGG
rnacentral:rRNA from 1 species